AUACAGACACGACAACAUUUGUGUUUGCUGUUUGUAUGGUUGGACGAGCGCACCCCCAAAAUGGCUGCCAUCCCAGGGGAAGCAUUGAGCCAGUGUAAAUCUUCAGGAAUUCUUUAUGGCUUAUCUGACAGUCAGGAUGUCCUUUAUAAUUUUAUUAGAACAGUUAAGGAAGAACUAGUCCUACAGUUUUUAUCCUA